UGGGCUGUCUGUAAUUAUGCACGGGCAUCCUGAAUUAACAAUUGCAUAUUGGAGUAAUUAUCAUGGCACUAAGUGCAGAAGAGAAAGCAAAAAUCUUAGCAGACUUUGGACAGGGCGAU
rfam:Marine metagenome 1096626015835, whole genome shotgun sequence.